GCCGCGAUCGCAUAACCUGGUAUUGCGCUCGCCUCGAAAGCGAGUUUCCGUAAGGAAUUCCCGGUUCAAAUCCGGGCCGCGGCG
rnacentral:tRNA from 1 species